GCCAGACUCCUACGGGAGGCAGCAGUGGGGGAUAUUGCACAAUGGGGGAAACCCUGAUGCAGCGACGCCGCGUGGGUGAAGAAGCGCCUCGGCGCGUAAAGCCCUGUCAGCAGGGAAGAAAAUGACGGUACCUGAAGAAGAAGCCCCGGCUAACUACGUGCCAGCAGCCGCGGUAAUACGUAGGGGGCAAGCGUUAUCCGGAUUUACUGGGUGUAAAGGGGGCGCAGACGGCGAUGCAAGCCAGGAGUGAAAGCCCGGGGCCCAACCCCGGGACUGCUCUUGGAACUGCGUGGCUAGAGUGCAGGAGGGGCGGGCGGAAUUCCUGGUGUAGCGGUGAAAUGCGUAGAGAUCGGGAGGAACACCAGUGGCGAAGGCGGCCUGCUGGGCUUUAACUGACGCUCAGGCACGAAAGCAUGGGUAGCAAACAGGAUUAGAUACCCCCGUAUA
rnacentral:rRNA from 1 species